UCCUUUUCAUGAAAGAAGUCCCGCGGUAAUUUUUGGAACUAAAUUUGACAGGUCGGCCAUGUUGUCGUUCGUCAAUGUUAUCAAGUUCGUUUGUUGUGGUAGAUUUUUGUGAGUUUUUAACUAGCUUAGUGCAUUUUAAAGAUUGUUUACAAUGCCAAAAGUUGUGAAAAGUUCGGCUAGAGAAAUGAUAUUGAAGGUGAAAGAGUUCUGUGAAGCGGAACAAAAGAAUCAAGGUGUUUUAAUAUCACUAAACAAUGUUCGGAAGAGAGUCGCCGCCUUAACAGGUGUGUCAGAGAAAACUGUAACAAGAAUUACAAAAGAAGGUAUAACAGCGGCGAGUACUUCGAAAAAAAUUGUCACCCCAGGGAAGAA